rnacentral:rRNA from 1 species
UACGUAGGCAGCAAGCGUUGUUCGGAAUUACUGGGCGUAAAGAGUGUGUAGGCGGUGCUCUAAGUUUGGUGUGAAAUCUCCCGGCUUAACUGGGAGGGUGCGCUAGAAACUGGAAUGCUAGAGGAUGGGAGAGGUAAGCGGAAUUCCUGGUGUAGCGGUGAAAUGCGUAGAUAUCAGGAGGAACACCUGUGGUGUAGACAGCUUACUGGACCAUUUCUGACGCUGAGACACGAAAGCGUGGGUAGCAAACAGG